AUUUUUGUAGUUGAAUUAACAACAGUGGUUUUUCAGACCGCAGGUCUCGAUAGAGCAAAAGUU
rnacentral:tRNA from 1 species